GCUGCGGCGGCCGCAGCCAUGAGUAUGCUCAGGCUUCAGAAGAGGCUGGCCUCCAGUGUCUUCCGCUGUGGCAAAAAGAAGGUCUGGUUGGAUCCCAAUGAGACCAAUGAAAUCGCCAAUGCCAAUUCCCGUCAGCAGAUCCGGAAGUUGAUCAAAGAUGGGCUGAUCACCCGCAAGCCUGUGACUGUCCAUUCUCGGGCACGAUGCCGGAAGAACACGUUGGCUCGCCGGAAGGGCAGACACAUGGGCAUCGGUAAGCGGAAGGGUACAGCCAACGCCCGAAUGCCGGAGAAGGUGACCUGGAUGCGCAGAAUGCGGAUCCUGCGCAGGCUGCUCCGGAGAUACCGGGAAUCUAAGAAGAUCGACCGGCAUAUGUAUCACAGCCUGUACCUGAAGGUGAAGGGGAAUGUGUUCAAGAACAAGCGGAUCCUCACGGAGCACAUACACAAGCUGAAAGCGAACAAGGCCCGCAAAAAGCUCCUGGCUGACCAGGCCGAGGCUCGCAGAUCGAAGACCAAGGAAGCGCGCAAGCGCCGUGAGGAGCGCCUGGAAGCCAAGAAGGAAGAGAUCAUCAAGACCCUGUCCAAGGAGGAAGAGACAAAGAAGUAGUGCUCUGCGUGUACAGAGAACGGACAGGUCCCAAAUUAAAGAGCUCUUGGCCUUUC